AGAGUUUGAUCAUGGCUCAGAUUGAACGCUGGCGGCAUGCUUUACACAUGCAAGUCGAACGGCAGCACGGGCUUCGGCCUGGUGGCGAGUGGCGAACGGGUGAGUAAUGCAUCGGAACGUGCCCAUGUCGUGGGGGAUAACGUAGCGAAAGCUACGCUAAUACCGCAUACGCCCUGAGGGGGAAAGCGGGGGAUUCUUCGGAACCUCGCGCGAUUGGAGCGGCCGAUGUCGGAUUAGCUAGUAGGUGAGGUAAAGGCUCACCUAGGCGACGAUCCGUAGCGGGUCUGAGAGGAUGAUCCGCCACACUGGGACUGAGACACGGCCCAGACUCCUACGGGAGGCAGCAGUGGGGAAUUUUGGACAAUGGGGGCAACCCUGAUCCAGCCAUGCCGCGUGAGUGAAGAAGGCCUUCGGGUUGUAAAGCUCUUUCGGCCGGGAAGAAAUCGGCGACUCUAACAUAGUCGCUGGAUGACGGUACCGGACUAAGAAGCACCGGCUAACUACGUGCCAGCAGCCGCGGUAAUACGUAGGGUGCGAGCGUUAAUCGGAAUUACUGGGCGUAAAGCGUGCGCAGGCGGUUUUGUAAGACAGAUGUGAAAUCCCCGGGCUUAACCUGGGAACUGCGUUUGUGACUGCAAGGCUAGAGUACGGCAGAGGGGGGUGGAAUUCCACGUGUAGCAGUGAAAUGCGUAGAGAUGUGGAGGAACACCGAUGGCGAAGGCAGCCCCCUGGGCCUGUACU
rnacentral:rRNA from 1 species